CGAAUGAACUAGCCCUGAAAAUGGAUGGCGCUUAAGCGUAUUACCCAUACCUCGCCGCCAGGGUAGAAACGAUGCCCUGGCGAGUAGGCAGGCGUGGAGGUCAGUGACGAAGCCUUGGGGGUGACCCCGGGUAGAACGGCCUCUAGUGCAGAUCUUGGUGGUAGUAGCAAAUACUCAAAUGAGAACUUUGAGGACUGAAGUGGGGAAAGGUUCCGUGUGAACAGCAGUUGGACACGGGUUAGUCGAUCCUAAGCCAUAGGGAAACUCCGUUUUAAAGUGCGCUCUCGGGCGCCGCCUGGCGAAAGGGAAACCGGUUAAUAUUCCGGUACCUCGAUGUGGAUUAUCCGCGGCAACGCAACUGAAGGUGGAGACGUCGGCGGGGGCCCCGGGAAGAGUU
rnacentral:rRNA from 1 species